rnacentral:rRNA from 1 species
UACGUAGGGUGCGAGCGUUGUCCGGAAUUAUUGGGCGUAAAGAGCUCGUAGGCGGUGUGUCGCGUCGGCCGUGAAAACCUGGGGCUUAACUCUGGGCGUGCGGUCGAUACGGGCAUCACUAGAGUUCGGCAGGGGACACUGGAAUUCCUGGUGUAGCGGUGAAAUGCGCAGAUAUCAGGAGGAACACCGGUGGCGAAGGCGGGUCUCUGGGCCGAUACUGACGCUGAGGAGCGAAAGCAUGGGUAGCGAACGGG